ACAUAGGUUUGGUCCCAGCCUUCCUGUUAACUCUUAAUAAACUUACACAUGCAAGCAUCCACACCCCAGUGAGAAUGCCCUCUAGGUUAUUAAAACUAAGAGGAGCUGGCAUCAAGCACACACCCUGUAGCUCACGACGCCUUGCUUAACCACACCCCCACGGGAAACAGCAGUGACAAAAAUUAAGCCAUAAACGAAAGUUUGACUAAGUUAUAUUAAUUAGGGUUGGUAAAUCUCGUGCCAGCCACCGCGGUCAUACGAUUAACCCAAGCUAACAGGAGUACGGCGUAAAACGUGUUAAAGCACCAUACCAAAUAGGGUUAAAUUCUAAUUAAGCUGUAAAAAGCCAUGAUUAAGAUAAAAAUAAAUGACGAAAGUGACCCUACAAUAGCCGAUGCACUAUAGCUAAGACCCAAACUGGGAUUAGAUACCCCACUAUGCUUAGCCCUAAACACAGAUAAUUAUAUAAACAAAAUUA
rnacentral:rRNA from 1 species